AUCUUAGUGGCGGACGGGUUAGUAACACGUGAGAUACAUACCUAUUAGACAGGAAUAGCCCAUGGAAACGUGGAUUAAUGCCUGAUAGUUCCUACGGGAUAAAGGAUGCCUUCGGGUGUCGCUAAUAGAUUGGCUCGCGGCCUAUCAGUUAGUUGGUGAGGUAAAGGCUCACCAAGACGACGACGGGUAGCUGGUCUGAGAGGACGAUCAGCCACACUGGAACUGAGACACGGUCCAGACACCUACGGGUGGCAGCAGUCGAGAAUCAUUCACAAUGGACGAAAGUCUGAUGGUGCAACGCCGCGUGGAGGAUGACGGUCCUAGGAUUGUAAACUCCUGUCAUUGGGGAGUAAGACUUGGUUGUUAAUAGCCUCCAAGUUUGAUAGUACCCAAAGAGGAAGGGACGGCUAACUUCGUGCCAGCAGCCGCGGUAAUACGAAGGUCCCAAGCGUUGUUCGGAAUAACUGGGCGUAAAGCGUGUGUAGGCUGCGCGGAAAGUCAAAUGUGAAAGCCAGAGGCUCAACCUCUGAACUGCAUUCGAUACUCCCGUGCUAGAGUAAUGGAGAGGUAAGUGGAAUUCUCGGUGUAGCAGUGAAAUGCGUAGAUAUCGAGAGGAACAUCAAUGGCGAAGGCAACUUACUGGACAUUUACUGACGCUCAGACACGAAGGCUAGGGGAGCGAAAGGGAUUAGAUACCCCUGUAGUCCUAGCAGUAAACGGUGCUCGCUUGGUGUGGGAGGGUUCGACCCCUUCUGUGCCGGAGCUAACGCGUUAAGCGAGCCGCCUGGGAAGUACGGUCGCAAGACUAAAACUCAAAGAAAUUGACGGGGACCCGCACAAGCGGUGGAGUAUGUGGCUUAAUUCGAUGCAACGCGAAGAACCUUACCUAGGCUUGACAUGCUUGUCGUACUCUCCCGAAAAGGAGAGGUCACUUCGGGUGGACAAUGCACAGGUGCUGCAUGGCCGUCGUCAGCUCGUGUCGUGAGAUGUUUGGUUAAGUCCAGCAACGAGCGCAACCCCUGUGAAUAGUUGCCAGCAAGUAAUGUUGGGGACUCUAUUCAGACUGCCCAGAUCAACUGGGAGGAAGGUGGGGACGACGUCAGGUCAGUAUGGCCCUUACGCCUAGGGCUGCACACGUACUACAAUGCCCAGCACAAUGAGAACCGAUACCGCGAGGUGGAGGAAAUCUAUAAAACUGGGCCCAGUUCGGAUUGGAGGCUGCAACUCGCCUCCAUGAAGUCGGAAUCGCUAGUAAUGCCGUAUCAGCUACGACGGCGUGAAUACGUUCCCGGGUCUUGUACACACCGCCCGUCACAUCAUGGAAGCCGGUCGCACCCGAAGUAUAUGCGCUAACUUUAUUGAAGCAGUAUCCUAAGGUGAGGCUGGUAACUGGGAUGAAGUCGUAACAAGGUAGCCGUAGGGGAACCUGCGGCUGGAUCACCUCCUUUCUAUGGAGUAAGAAAGCAAGUUCGUUAUUUAUAACAAAAGGACCGCUGCUUUCGGUCGACACCUGACUUCAAGGCCUUCUCUCUUCGGAGAGAAGGCCGAGAGAUACUUAACUUGGAGCUUCGGCGAAGAGAAAGUAAUGGUGGAAGAGCAAGAAAUUGCCUUCACAAAUAUUUGAGUGACCAAUUUAAACGCACCUUAAACUUAAUUCAUGGUUUAAGACUGCAGCAUACAAUCUGAUUUUUUGUCCUACUCACCGUAGGGGAAAGCCUACCUUCCCAAGUUUAGAAUCUUCUAAAUUAGGAAUUUAGAGUUUCCUUAAAUAAGGGGGCUUAGCUCAGUUGGUAGAGCGUCUGCUUUGCAAGCAGAAUGUCAACGGUUCGAAUCCGUUAGUCUCCACCAUUUUUCCAACGCGGGCUUGUAGCUCAGUUGGUUAGAGCGCACGACUGAUAAUCGUGAGGUCGGCAGUUCGAGUCUGCCCUGGCCCACCAUUUUCUUUGAAGAAAGUGGUAAGACAAUGAGUAGAGAGCAAAAACAACAUCUUUUCUGUGACCCAUAUUUUUAAGGUUAACGCCGUUCUUUGACAUCCAUGUGAAGUUUUUAAAGACUGUGAGCACCAUCACUUCAAUGUGGUGCUCCAUUAAUACAAUGAAAUUAGACUGAGACAGGUGGUGAAAGCCACUUGUUCAAACUACUUGCAGUCCUUGGAUAAAGACUAACAAUACCAAAUUUACGGUUGAAACGAUCAAGCGAUUGAUUGUUUUAACUCAAGACAAUUAGACGUUCUACGGAACGUCGACUUUAUAACGACAACCGAUUUCAAGAGAAUGAGGAAUUAAGUUAUUAAGGGCAUAGAGUGGAUGCCUUGG
rnacentral:rRNA from 1 species